GGAGUAAAAUUUUGCUUAUCUACCGACUGGAGUAUUACACAUGUAUGGAAGAAUGAUGGUUGUUAUUUCCAUCUGGUUGAUAACACGAAAAACAAUUAACUACUCUACAAAGCAGAGGGUUGGUUAGGGUUUUUGCUACUUUCUCAAAUUUUCGUGAUCAACGGAAAAAUCUUUGGGACU